UGAAGAUACACGAGUGGAUAGAGGAUGGAUGGAUGGACGGAGGGUUGAGGAAAGAUGGAUGGGUGAAUGUAUGUAUGGAGGAUAAGUAGAAGGAAGACAAAUGGAUGGAUAAUUGCUUUAUGGAUAGACAUAUGGAUGGAUAUUUGAAUGAUAGCCUUCUGUUAAUGGAUGAAUGGAUGGGUGAGUGGGUAAGAGUGUUAUAAAUGGAGGAGUGGAUAUAUGGAUAGUAGUUUAUAGUUGGGUGGCUGGAUAGAUGGAUGGAAAGAUAGAAAGAGAGGUGAAUGAUUGGAUGCAUCAGCAUAUGACAAGCAGGUACAACUCUAGGUGGUCUCUAUGCCCUGAGACCCUGAGGAAAAUAAGGAUGCCUGUGCUGGUGGCCCUCGCCUGGCCCUCCCUUGUAACCCCUCAACCACAUUCCCUGGGAAGGCAACAGAGGUCUCUGGUCUUGCCCAUUCAACCUUUGGCACACUGAGUGUCGGGCUCAGGUCUCUGUCUUGGACCCAGAUCUCCUUAAGGUUGCGUGUGUCUGAUCCUCUCUGGCCCUGGGACCCAGUCACUGAAUAUGUGGCUGAGACUGAGACUGAGACUGGGGGUUGGGGGGCAGGUACCUUGGGCUCAAGCUCCCCUUGAAGGAGCAGAUGGCGCCCACUCUCUGCCAAGUCUCUCCCUGAGGUGUCCUGAGAACCUCAAAGACAGAAGGUCUCAGCCCCUCACCUGGGACCCUGCCUCCUCUUCUUCCCUGGGGGAGUCUCAGGCCUGAGAUGGGGACCCAGACCCCACUGUCCCCAGACCCCAAGGAAGCAUAGCCCCUGUUCACAUGAGCCUGGGCUAGGCAGGCCCUCACUGUGUUGCAGAUUGGCAGACGCUGCCUCCCUGUGUGGAGCUGGACCCACUGCAGGAGAGCCUGGAGGAGGAGACCCCUGGCGCCAGCCUGUGGCCCACCACCGUCACCUUCCUCACCCUCUUCCUGCUGAGCCUGUUCUACAGCACAGCACUGACCGUGACCAGCAUCCGGGGCCCGUCCAGCAGCAGGGAGGUCCCCCAGUUCUGAGCAGCAGCCAGCAGAGCACAGGGAGGAAGUGUGGAGGAACCUCUUGGAGAAGCCAGGCAUGCCAGAACUCAGCCCUUUCAGAAGCCACCGACCCACCCCUACUCACAUGCCUUCCAGGUGCAAUAAAGUGGCCCCAAGGAAAAUGUUCACAAACUCUGAAUGAGGAGACAGGGGUCAGGGGAAGGGUGGUGGCUGUAGCCUGGAGGACUCCUGCUUCAAAGUCCCCCUGGGUGUCAUGGUGGGUAUGGUGGGCAUGGACAGAGGGUACCUCUGGUCCCAAAAUCAAGAAAGAAGCUGAUCUUGCAUGAG